rnacentral:tRNA from 1 species
GGGAAGGUGGCUCAGCAGCAGAGUGCUUGCCUUGCAUGCAUGAGGCCCUGGGUUUGAUUCCUCAGCCCCA